AGAGUUUGAUCCUUNCUCAGGACGAACGCUGGCGGCGUGCUUCAUACAUGCAAGUCGAGCGGGAUCCAUCCAGUGGCAACACUGGUGAAGAUCUAGCGGCGAACGGGUGAGUAACACGUGAGGAACCUGCCCCAGAGACCGGGAUAACCCUCCGAAAGGAGAGCUAAUACCGGAUGCCCCCAUCGGACCGCAUGGUCUGAUGAGGAAAUGGAUUCCGCUCUGGGAGGGCCUCGCGGCCUAUCAGCUUGUUGGUGAGGUAACGGCUCACCAAGGCACCGACGGGUAGCUGGUCUGAGAGGACGGUCAGCCACACUGGGACUGAGACACGGCCCAGACUCCUACUGGAGGCAGCAGUAGGGAAUCUUGCGCAAUGGGCGAAAGCCUGACGCAGCAUCGCCUCGUGGGGGAUGAAGGCUCUCGGGUUGUAAACCCCUUUCANCAGGGACGAUGAUGACAGUACCUGCUAAUAAGGACCUGCCAACUACGUGCCACCAG
rnacentral:rRNA from 1 species